rnacentral:rRNA from 1 species
UACGUAGGGUGCGAGCGUUAAUCGGAAUUACUGGGCGUAAAGGGUGCGUAGGCGGGUCUUUAAGUCAGGGGUGAAAGCCCAGGGCUCAACCCUGGAACUGCCUUCGAUACUGGAUAUCUAGAGUAUGGGAGAGGUGUGUGGAACUCCGAGUGUAGAGGUGAAAUUCGUAGAUAUUCGCAAGAACACCGGUGGCGAGGGCGGCCAACUGGACCAUUACUGACGCUGAGGCGCGAAAGCGUGGGGAGCAAACAGG